rnacentral:rRNA from 1 species
GUGUCAGCCGCCGCGGUAAUACGAAGGGGGCUAGCGUUGCUCGGAAUCACUGGGCGUAAAGCGCACGUAGGCGGAUCGUUAAGUCAGGGGUGAAAUCCUGGGGCUCAACUUCAGAACUGCCCUUGAUACUGGCGAUCUCGAGUUCGAGAGAGGUUGGUGGAACUCCGAGUGUAGAGGUGAAAUUCGUAGAUAUUCGGAAGAACACCAGUGGCGAAGGCGGCCAACUGGCUCGAUACUGACGCUGAGGUGCGAAAGCGUGGG